rnacentral:rRNA from 1 species
AUAUGAGUUACAGGGAUAAGACUAAGAAGUUCUAAACCUAUUAGAGUUAUAAUCAAGUUUGAUCCUCCUAACAGCAAUAACGUAAUAGAAAUUAACGAUAUCAUUUUAAGAUUUUGUCAUAAAUUUCAUUAUCAAGCAUAUGUUAUUGCGACCUAAACCCGGAACUUUAAAAAAACAAAAUUGUGAUUUAUGAAAACGAUUAUUUUGGCUAAAAUAAAAUAAAAUAAAUAUAUAAGUUAUAUAACCUAUAAAUCUUCAAAUAUAUAUAAUACCCUAUAAAAAGACCAAUAAGAAUAGUAGUAUAAUCCCUAACCGUUAAUUAUUAUCUCGUGAUAAAGUUAUACAGGGCAAAUGUGAUUGAAAAACUAAUUCUAGUAAUUAACAUAUCUUUAUGAAUAAUUAUAUACAUAUAUAAUAGUGAUUAAAAGGUAUAAAUUAUACCAAUCAUAUCAGGAAACUGAUUAAUAUAUAACCCAGUGAAUUGAAACAUCUUAGUAACUGGAGAAAUAAAUCAACAGAGAUAAUAUAAGUAGCGGUGAGCGAAAGUGUUAAAGUUUGUAAGUAAUGUCCUAUGGCAUGAAUAAAGCAGAUUCAACUGCUAAAACUAAAUAUAUAUAUGUAAUAAAAAGUACUGUGAAGGAACAAUUUGAAAUAGAGAUAUGCAGAGCAGCUAUAGUAUAGCGUACCUCUUGUAUAAUGGGCCAGUGAGUUACUGUCAAUAGCGAAGGCAACUAUAUGGAUACAGAGUAUUCCACAUUAGUUAUUGAUAGUAGGCCCGAAAGAAGCUGAUCUAAAUAUAUACAAGUAUUAUAUUAAGUCUAAAUAAAAUAUUAUUAAUUUAAUAUUUUACUUUUUAUAAUGACUGAACUCGUUGGUGUUGCAAGACCAUGAGAUGAUGUAUGUUUAGUAGUGAAAGGCAAACCUGAGCUUCAGAUAGCUGGUUGUCUGCGAAAUACAUGUUAGUGUAGUCUUAUUAAUAUUAUCCGAAGGUAAAACACUUAUUAUUAUAUAAUAUAAUUAUAUAUAUAAUUGUAUUUACGGGGAGUGUAAAAACUUUAUCGUUAAUAAUAAAUUUCAUAAUGUCGAAAUAUAAUAUAAUAAGAAUCAGACAUGGUGCGAUAAGGUACUAUGUCGAGAAGGGAAACAACCCAGAUCAUGAACUAAAUGUCCCAAAUCAAUAAUAAGUGGACAUAAUCUAAUAGAUAUAGAAGACGGUUAAGCUGUGGGUCUGAUACUGGCCACCAGAUAAUAAACGUGUAACAAUGUGCUAACCUAAUAUACUUAUUAGAAAUAAUAUACGGGCCUAAUUAUUGGACAGAAGUAUGGAUAAUAUUUUCUAUCUUAUAAAAAAUCUUUAUGAUUUAAUAAAUUAGAAUUUAUUUAAGCAAUUAAAUAUUUAAUAAUAUAUUAUUAUUAUAAUUAUGGAAGAUAAUAUAGAAAUAUUAUGGUAGCAGGCCAUAUAUCGAUUAUAGAUAUACAGAAUAUGCUGGCUUGAGUAAUGAAAGAUGAUAUAGGAUCAUCCUCUUAAUACAUAAGGUUUAACUAUAAAUUCACGGUCUCUAAUAUAAACAUGAAAAUGUGGAUAGAUGAGUGACAGAUACAAGAAAAUCAUAAAUAACCGUACCGUAGACCGACACAGGUAUGUUAAAAAGAGAACGAGACAACCAUAUUGAAUGAACUCGGCAAAAAUAAAGCUGUACGACUGUUUACCAAAAACACAAGUUACUGCAGACUAUUAAUAGUUAGUAUAGUAGCUGAGUCCUGCCCAGUGUCAGUAUUAAUAUAUAUGAUAAUUAAUACGAUUAUUAUAUUAAAAGACAUGAUAAACGGCGGCCUUAUUCCUGAGGGUCCUAAGGUAGCGAAAUUCAUUGGCAGAUAAUUACUGUCCCGCAUGAAUGGUAUCACGAUGCAGCAACUGUAUCCAAUAUGGACUCGAUGAAAUAGCAAUCGCGGUGAAGAUGCCGUGUCACCUACAGAUUGACGAGAAGACCCUAUGCAGCUUUACUGUAAUUCAAUAUUGAUAAUUUAACACCAUAAUAUUCGUAGGCUAAUGGUUAUACUGAUAUAUAUAUAUAUUCCAUAUAUAUUAUAUAUAUAAAGAUACAUGAAAAAACCAUAAUAUUCCAAUAAUAAAUCUAAACAAUUUAUUAUUUAGUUAGAUAUCUAACCUUAACAUAUAAGGUACAGUAUUGUUUGAACAGUUUUGAUGGGGUGUCAAUAUCAUAAAUAAUAACUAAUAUGCCCAACAUAUAAUGAAUAUAGAAAAAUUAGAUACUUUAUAUUAAGUAAUUCUAAUUAUAAUAGAAAAUUUAUUAUAACGUACAGACGAGCUAUAUGGUGAAUAGCUAAAUAGAUUAUGAAGUAUAAUCAAUGCAAAGGUAACAAUAUAACUGUGCGAUGACAAUGAGACUGACAGGUCUAAUUGGUGCGUAAGCAUGGUGUAGUGAACAGGCACAUUCUGUUGAUAUGGGUGUCGAUAAGGGAUCAAAGUUACGCUAGGGAUAACAGGGUAAUCAAGCCCGAGAGUUGAUAUCGCCGGCUUGGUUUGCCACCUCGAUGUCGUCUAGGCCCAACCUAGUGAUAGUAUCAGUCACUAAGGGUUAGACUGUUCGUCUAUUAAAGGGCUACUUGAGAUGGGUUAACAACGACGUGAGUCAGUUGAGUUUCUAUCAUCUGUAGGAUCUAAUUAUAUAUAUUACUUCAGUGUACGAAAGGAUAGUAAGUAAUUUAUCAAUAGUGUAUAUUUAAUAAUAUAAGCCACAUAAAUUUGAUUAAGUAUUGAAUGCAUAUAAAAUACAAAAUCAUUAUAUAUAAUUAAUAACAUUGAAUAUAACAAUGUACUCUAUAUAUGGUAAGAUAUUACUAUAUUAUAGAUUUUAACUAUAACUAUUAUUAUCACAAUCACAUUUCAUGGGUUUAUCGAUUAACUGGUAAAUCAAUCGCGU